rnacentral:rRNA from 1 species
AGUGAACGCUGGCGGUAGGCCUAACACAUGCAAGUCGAACGGCAGCACAUUAAGAGCUUGCUCUUACGGGUGGCGAGUGGCGGACGGGUGAGGAAUACAUCGGAAUCUACUUUUUCGUGGGGGAUAACGGAGGGAAACUGACGCUAAUACCUCAUACGACCUACGGGUGAAAGCAGGGGAUCUUCGGACCUUGCGCGAUUGAAUGAGCCGAUGUCGGAUUAGCUAGUUGGCGGGGGAAAGGCCCACCAAGGCGACGAUCCGUAGCUGGUCUGAGAGGAUGAUCAGCCACACUGGAACUGAGACACGGUCCAGACUCCUACGGGAGGCAGCAGUGGGGAAUAUUGGACAAUGGGCGCAAGCCUGAUCCAGCCAUACCGCGUGGGUGAAGAAGGCCUUCGGGUUGUAAAGCCCUUUUGUUGGGAAAGAAAAGCAGCAGGUUAAUACCCCGCUGUUCUGACGGUACCCAAAGAAUAAGCACCGGCUAACUUCGUG